GGAGGAGGAGGAGGAGGAGGAGGACUGCCUUGGAGUCUGAAAUUAGCCUGGAUUGUACCGCAAGUGUCAGGCUAACCUGAACCACAAAGCAAGACUCCUGAUCCUGAAUGAUGUGGGGCUUCUUGAUUGUCUUGUAAGAGCUGCAGUAACAAUAAGACCUGUGUUUCUGUGAUUGACAGUCAGCAAAUGGAACUUCCCAGGAAGGUGGAGCAAUAUGGCUGAACUUGAGUAAAACUUGCAUGAAGGGGAAACUGAGUCGGGAAGUGGUUAUGAGUAAUUUUCUCAACCCUGAUCAAGGAGGAAGUCAAAGCCACCACAGCAAGAAAAUGUUGGUAAAAUCCAGCCAGGUCCAAUCCCAGAACUCAGGAGGAUCAAGAAUUUCAAGCUA